rnacentral:rRNA from 1 species
UCCGUAGGCGGACUAAUAAGUCAGGGGUGAAAUACCACAGCUCAACUGUGGAACUGCCUUUGAUACUGUUAGUCUUGAAUUAUAUGGAAGUAGAUAGAAUGUGUAGUGUAGCGGUGAAAUGCUUAGAGAUUACACAGAAUACCGAUUGCGAAGGCAGUCUACUACGUAUAUAUUGACGCUAAUGGACGAAAGCGAGGGGAGCGAACAGGAUUAGAUACCCUGGUAGUCC